UUGGUCAGUGAUGUUUUUUCACAACAAGUAUGAGUUUAUGACCAUGAGUUCACUGUACAUGCACUACCAGCUGAGACAAA